AGAGUUUGAUCGUGGCUCAGAUUGAACGCUGGCGGCAUGCCUUACACAUGCAAGUCGAACGGUAACAGGUUAAGCUGACGAGUGGCGAACGGGUGAGUAAUAUAUCGGAACGUGCCCAGUCGUGGGGGAUAACUACUCGAAAGAGUAGCUAAUACCGCAUACGACCUGAGGGUGAAAGCGGGGGAUCGCAAGACCUCGCGCGAUUGGAGCGGCCGAUAUCAGAUUAGGUAGUUGGUGGGGUAAAAGCUCACCAAGCCAACGAUCUGUAGCUGGUCUGAGAGGACGACCAGCCACACUGGGACUGAGACACGGCCCAGACUCCUACGGGAGGCAGCAGUGGGGAAUUUUGGACAAUGGGCGCAAGCCUGAUCCAGCCAUGCCGCGUGCGGGAAGAAGGCCUUCGGGUUGUAAACCGCUUUUGUCAGGGAAGAAAAGGUUCUGGCUAAUACCCGGGACUCAUGACGGUACCUAAGA
rnacentral:rRNA from 1 species